UUCGUCGCAUGUGUCAGAUCUGGAUGUUUAUUUUCUUUCCAUGGCAUUUCCCGCGGUGGCACACUCGACGCGUGUGCAGCGAUUCAAAUCUUUGCGCGAUAUUUCACAUUAUAUAAUUUAAUCAUCUUCAAACACCGACGCGUUAAUUAUUCCCAACUGGGAGUGUGGUGUAUCAAAAAUAGGAAUGCACUUUAGGGAUACCAAUACGAACUCGGAGGCAGAAGCGAAACUGUAUUAAUAGUAAUGGAUGAUGAUCAGUCAAGGCAAGAUGUACGUCAAAGAAUUUGGAAAACACCGAAAGAAGGUCAACGCAGAGAAUACAUCAAAGGGUCCACCCACUCAUUUCCAGCAUCAUGGUCCUGGCACGACACGGGAACAAUUUAAUUAAAUGGCGGCAACAUGUAUACCUUCCAUAAACAGAAAGGGGGUGUCGUCGUUUCAACAAUAUAAUUCAAUUUGUGUAUGUAUUGACUGCAUUUUUUGUAUAUACAUUUAAACAAAAACAUCUUUCAAUGAUUUUUUUUUAAUUCGAUUUGAAAUGAAAAAAAAAAAUAUUCUGUUCAUUUGAUUUGAGUUUUGUAAAUUGUGUAAUAGAAAGUCGACAAUAAAAGUCAAUAGGAAAAUAUAGUAUAUAAUUACAAUAUUUUUUUUUAUUGUAAAAUUCUUAUUUAAGUGUGAUAAAUUAUGAUCUUAUAUCAUCACUUUCUCUUUAUUUAAUUCUUAACAAUUCAAUGCAUCGAAAAACGAUGUACUAGAUUUAAAUUCUAUUCGCGAAGAAGAUUCGCACAAGAAUUGGUUUUGUGUCCUAUUCGAUGUCGUCAGGUCAUCUCAAACGAGGAGCCAUAAAUUUUCCAUUGUAUAUCCGUAUAAGCAGACACAUGAUGUGAGUUACACCUCGAUAAAUUGCUAA